GCGGGCCCUACACAUUGCAAGUUCGAGCGGUAGCACAGAGAGCUUGCUCUCGGGUGACGAGCGGCGGACGGGUGAGUAAUGUCUGGGAAACUGCCUGAUGGAGGGGGAUAACUACUGGAAACGGUAGCUAAUACCGCAUAAUGUCGCAAGACCAAAGUGGGGGACCUUCGGGCCUCAUGCCAUCAGAUGUGCCCAGAUGGGAUUAGCUAGUAGGUGGGGUAACGGCUCACCUAGGCGACGAUCCCUAGCUGGUCUGAGAGGAUGACCAGCCACACUGGAACUGAGACACGGUCCAGACUCCUACGGGAGGCAGCAGUGGGGAAUAUUGCACAAUGGGCGCAAGCCUGAUGCAGCCAUGCCGCGUGUGUGAAGAAGGCCUUCGGGUUGUAAAGCACUUUCAGCGGGGAGGAAGGCGGUAAGGUUAAUAACCUUG
rnacentral:rRNA from 1 species